CAGGUGGAUCUCUGAGUUCAAGG
rnacentral:piRNA from 1 species